AGAGCGAACGCUGGCGGCAUGCUUAACACAUGCAAGUCGCACGGGCAGGGCAACCUGUCAGUGGCGGACGGGUGAGUAACGCGUAGGUAUCUAUCCUUGGGUGGGGGACAACUGUGGGAAACUACAGCUAAUACCGCAUAAUAACUGAGGUUUAAAGGCGCAAGUCGCCUGGGGAGGAGCCUGCGUACGAUUAGCUAGUUGGUGGGGUAAAGGCCUACCAAGGCUGCGAUCGUUAGCUGGUCUGAGAGGAUGAUCAGCCACAUUGGGACUGAGACACGGCCCAAACUCCUACGGGAGGCAGCAGUGGGGAAUAUUGGACAAGUGGGCGAAAGCCUGAUCCAGCAAUGCCGCGUGUGUGAAGAAGGUCUUCGGAUUGUAAAGCACUUUCGACGGGGACGAUGAUGACGGUACCCGUAGAAGAAGCCCCGGCUAACUUCGUGCCAGCAGCCGC
rnacentral:rRNA from 1 species